rnacentral:lncRNA from 10 species
CAGGACCCCAUUGAAAAUCGGACUGUUCAACUCACCUGGCAGCCACUCCCGGGGUCCCUGGAAUUCUGGCCCAAGGCUCUCUGACUCCUUCCCAGAUUUUCUUGGCUUAGCGGCUGAAGACUGACACUGCCCGAUCGCCUUGGAAGCCCCUAGACCAUCACGGGCGCCAAGCUUCAGGUUCCCACGGCGCCCCUAAUCCUGCUCGAAGCAGCCCUGAGAAACACCGCCCAUUAUCUCUCCAUGCCACCCCCUCAAAAAAAAUUUCUUUCUGCUGCCCCAACACUUCAAUACUAUUUUAUGUUAUUUUUCUUAUUAAUAUAAGAAGGCAGGAAUGUCAGGCCUCUGAGCCCAAGCUAAGCCAUCGCAUCCCCUGUGACCUGCAUGUGUAUGCCCAGAUGGCGUGAAGUAACUGAAGAAUCACAAAAGAAGUGAAAAUGGCCUGUUCCUGCCUUAACUGACAUUCCACCACAAAAGAAAUGAAAAUGGCUGGUCCUUGCCUUAAGUGAUGACAUUACCUUGUGAAAUUCCUUUUCCUGGCUCAUCCUGGCUCAAAAAAGCUCCCCCACUGAGUACCUUGUGACCCCCCACUCCUGCCCACCAGAGAACAACCCCACUUUGACUGUAAUUUUCCUUUACCUACCCAAAUCUUAUAAAAUGGCCCCACCCCAUCUCCCUUCACUGACUCUCUUUUCGGACUCAGCCUGCAUGCAGCCAGGUGAUUAAAAAGCUUUAUUGCUCACACAAAG